ACAGCAGUAGCCGCGGGAAUACGGAGGAUCCAAGCGUUAUCCGGAAUCAUUGGGUUUAAAGGGUCCGUAGGCGGUCUUGUAAGUCAGUGGUGAAAGCCCAUCGCUCAACGGUGGAACGGCCAUUGAUACUGCAGGACUUGAAUUAUUGGGAAGUAACUAGAAUAUGUAGUGUAGCGGUGAAAUGCUUAGAGAUUACAUGGAAUACCAAUUGCGAAGGCAGGUUACUACCAAUUGAUUGACGCUGAUGGACGAAAGCGUGGGUAGCGAACAGGAUUAGAUACCCCAGUAGUCCCUGUCUCUUAUAA
rnacentral:rRNA from 1 species